GAUGAACGCUGGCGGCGUGCCUAAUACAUGCAAGUCGAGCGAACAGACGAGGAGCUUGCUCCUCUGCCGUUAGCGGCGGACGGGUGAGUAACACGUGGAUAACCUACCUAUAAGACUGGGAUAACUUCGGGAAACCGGAGCUAAUACCGGAUAAUAUAUUGAACCGCAUGGUUCAAUAGUGAAAGACGGUUUUGCUGUCACUUAUAGAUGGAUCCGCGCCGCAUUAGCUAGUUGGUAAGGUAACGGCUUACCAAGGCGACGAUGCGUAGCCGACCUGAGAGGGUGAUCGGCCACACUGGAACUGAGACACGGUCCAGACUCCUACGGGAGGCAGCAGUAGGGAAUCUUCCGCAAUGGGCGAAAGCCUGACGGAGCAACGCCGCGUGAGUGAUGAAGGCCUUCGGAUCGUAAAACUCUGUUAUUAGGGAAGAACAAAUGUGUAAGUAACUAUGCACGUCUUGACGGUACCUAAUCAGAAAGCCACGGCUAACUACGUG
rnacentral:rRNA from 1 species